AGUUAAUAAGCUAUAACAGCAUAUGUUUUGAAAACAUAAUUCUAGAAGUUUAAAUCUUCUAUUAACUU
rnacentral:tRNA from 4 species